GAUGAACGCUGGCGGCGUGCCUAAUACAUGCAAGUCGAGCGAACAGACGAGGAGCUUGCUCCUCUGACGUUAGCGGCGGACGGGUGAGUAACACGUGGAUAACCUACCUAUAAGACUGGGAUAACUUCGGGAAACCGGCGCUAAUACCGGAUAAUAUAUUGAACCGCAUGGUUCAAUAGUGAAAGACGGUUUUGCUGUCACUUAUAGAUGGAUCCGCGCCGCUUUAGCUAGUUGGUAAGGUAACGGCUUACCAAGGCGACGAUGCGUAGCCGACCUGAGAGGGUGAUCGGCCACACUGGAACUGAGACACGGUCAAGACUCCUACGGGAGGCAGCAGUAGGGAAUCUUCCGCAAAGGGCGAAAGCCUGACGGAGCAACGCCGCGUGAGUGAUGAAGGUCUUCGGAUCGUAAAACUCUGUUAUUAGGGAAGAACAAAUGUGUAAGUAACUAUGCACGUCUUGACGGUACCUAAUCAGAAAGCCACGGCUAACUACGUG
rnacentral:rRNA from 1 species